UUCCUCUUUGAUGUGAGAUUGCAUAAUUGGAACUAAAUUUAAGUUAUUUUUGAUAAAGUCAGUCUCUCUCAAUUUUCUUAUUCUUCUAAAUUUUUCACUUUACAAAGAGAGAAAGAGAGGCUUCGACACAGAGAGAGAUAACCCUAAGUGCAGCUAAUAGAGGCACAAGCUCUACCCCACCUCACUAAAGCAAGUUGAAGCUUGCCAUGUCUACACGACUCCACGCUUCUGCAACUCCGACUACUGCAGCGAACUUCCCUCUUCAAACCACCCGCAUAAACUUCUUACUUUCGAAACACCAAGGACUCAACACCACAAGGAAACACACGAGGAAAUUGAGGGAAAGGGGUUUGGAGGGGUGAAGGCACAAUUGUGUGGAGGUGUGUUCGCGUUGGAACGCUUGCAAGGAGGCUUCCAUGUGCGAGUGUCAACGCGUAUAAGUCUACCAAACAUGUUAGCGUGCUGAGACGCCCACGUGCAUAGAGCCGUGUCACAUGACUGAGUGUUCACACACACUGCACGCAAGGAGGGCCUGUCCCAAUAGGCCAAAUUAUUGGGACAACUUGCUCAUGGCACGCUCGAGCACGGGGCACACCAAUUGGGCUUC